ensembl:lncRNA
UAUCAUCCAAUGCAAAGAAGGUAUAGGUCUCAGUCCCGGGCCUUGUGUGUGCUCUAGCCAAGUGCCAGCUUAAGCGGGUGAAAUGUGUAGUCCCAUAAGUCCUCCCGAGUGCUGGGGCCCUCCUUCUCCAGCUGAGCUCGUAAUGCCACAGCAGGUUCCACGGUUACAUUCAAAAGCCUCAGCAGGGAAGGCUGGCCCAGAUCUGAGGGGAAAGCGUGGGGUGAACACAGAACAUAAACCCAGCCGAGGCAGCUGCCACUUCAGAGAGCCAAAAUAGGGUGGGCUCAGUUAACAAAACAAAUCGCACACUUCAGAAUGUGUUAGCAUUGUCAGGCAGGAUAUCCGGGAAUUUUAGUAGUUUCGUACUUAAUAGUCAUUAGGUGGCUUUGGCUGAACCUCCCCAUCUAUGAAGUUUCCCUGGCGUCAGCUGCCGUCUUUGCAUCUCCCUCUGGCAGGAUUUGGGAGUGAGCUUUGUGGAGGUGAGAGGAAAAAGGAUGGAUCCCAGGAGGCUGUCCUUCCCGGGUUCCUGGGUAGAGGGCUCAGCCUUAGUGAGGCAGAGACUGCUCAUGGAGUCCAGGUUGCCUUCCUCUCCAGCAGAGUUGAUGGAAAGAGCUUGGAUGUGUGGAAGGAAGCUGUUAUACAAGUUCAAGGUAAUGUCACUCGCCAGAGCAGGACCUUCGCUUUUUACCUGAGCUUACCUCACAGGCUCGCAUCUUCCCCUCAGCUCUCCUCCCCUCCUCCUUUCUCUCCUGGUUUGCUUUUGGUCAGAAGUGAUUCUUCACGUUUGGGAUCAGUGGGGUGCUGCCUAAGCUGGAUGUCCAUUCCUACCAUGCGUAAGUCAUGGCUCAGUGGGAACCACUUAGGGCUCGCAUUUAGUCUAGUCACUAAUAGAAGAGCCAGUCUGCCCUAUGUUUUAGAAAAAUCCAGAUUUGAGAAACACUGGUGGUAGCUCAGCUCAGUUCAGGUAGGGGAACCACAGUGCCCAGAGCUGCACACAUCGUGUCCACACUGUGAGCCUCCUGGAGGGGGACAGAACCCUACUCACCUGUGUGUGUCUUAGGGUAGGUGCUCGAAAUGUUUGCUGAGAAAAAAAACUAUAAAAGGAAGGGAAUACUCAGGCCAGAGCCUCCUCAGGGGAAACUCAGUGGGGCCAAAUAAAAGUCUUUUGUUUCACUUUAUCUUAGGAAUUGCUGAUUUGAAGGCCUCAUAGGUCGUCACUGCCUCCCCCAGCUAUAGUUACCAUUUGACAGCACCCCAGUUGGUUGGGGAGAUGCCUGGGACAGCUGGCGGCCUGAGGCGGAGACAGGAGCUGGAGAGGCAGGUCACCCUGGGAUUUGGGUGGGACAGCUCAUUGAGGAGGCUGUGAGGGGGCUGCCGCUUCCCCAUCCUCCUGCGCCCAGGCGGUGAUGGCAAGGACGAGGGCGCUGGUGUCGGGGUAGCCCAAGCUGGUGCGAGAAUUUAAGGCAGCAAGCAUACCCCCUGCUUGCUGAGCUUGAGAAACAGCCUGCAUACAGUGACAGUUCACGAACGGUUACUGCUGUGUCCCCCUGAAAACAGCAGCGCUUUCCUUCCGCCCUUUCAAUGACAGGCUGUAGCUUGCCGUCUGCGGUGAGAGGCAGAGUUUCUCACGCCAUGUUGAAAUCUUUCUGUGUUGCUCCAGGGGUGGGCUGCUAUUGAGUGGAUAAUUGAGCAUUCUGAAAGCGCUGUGAGCUAACGGGGUCCGCGCCUGCGCCUGGUGACAAACGGCGGAUUUAUUGUCAAGGGAAACUCGAACAUUUGUCAGCGCGUCUCCAAUGAAGGCGGUUCGGCUUCCGCCAGCUGUUCUCAGUGCUUGGUCCCUGAACACGUCCUCUAACCUGUGCGUCAUUCGUGAGGAGCCUUUCACUAGGAGGUCCGCACAGUGUUAAAGCUGAUCUGACGGGAGGCCUUUUUCAUUUUGGGUAGGGUUUGAAUAUUUGCACACGUUCUCAUCAAGAACACCCUGUGCCCUUGCGGCAGCGAGGCAGCGAGGGGGACCGCGGCUCACCUCCUUGCUUGCUGCCAGCCAGCCGUGCGACUGCCACUGGCCGUUUGCUUUUAGUGGCAAAAGCCAUUUCUAGCAUCGUCUUGAGCUUCACAAACAUUCCUUGGUUUCCUGGGCCACCAGUAGAAACGGAUUUGACACUUAGUUAGCAGUCACCUUCAUGCUGCGUAGGAAAGGCAGGGUAUCCUGUGUCCUGUGUUUAGGGAAUCCUUGUACUCCUGCCUUGAAAUUCCUCACCCUGUUAACUUUCCACGCUGUGCUGCUCUGGGCCCCGCUUCCCACGGUCGGUCCGUCUGUCUGCAGCAUGCGUGUAUGCACUUGGUGCCUCAGUCAGCAGUGAGAGCCGACUGGUUCAGGCUUCUUUGCUUAAGUCAUUGAAGCUUAGGUUUGCCAGAGACCUUCACCGUGAACCCAAGGUCAUGAUCUGCCACUGGGUCUCUCUUCCUCCAUGGAUGCACUGCUGAGGUGACCACAUGUAGGGAGCCCGCCUGCCUGGGGAGCACAGUGUGUGUGGGCAGUGUGGUGUGUGUGAUGGUGGCACUUGGAAUUGAGGACUCUGUCACAUUCUGUUUCCUCAUAAACCAGAGCUAAACUGCCUCAAUCUUUAAUCAGAUACAUCGCCCCCCAAAAAAAUGAAAGAGGAAAGAAAAAAAGAGAAGGAAAGAAAAAUGAAUGAAAGGAAGGAAGGAAGAAAGAAGUGAGUCCUGAAUAUGGUUCACUGGCCCAGUCUGGAAGAGGUGUGGAAUCUGCUGGAAUCUUCCGCCUGCCACUCACGGCCUCCGCCAGGCUCCUCCGUCGUGACCUCACGGCACAGGAGGCCCGGCCAUGGUGCAGGCGGAGUGCUCGUCCGUUGCAGAGAGAGACUCGGUGGUAGGGCAAGGGCUGCAACGCCCUGCCUGUCCCCCCGCCGCUGAGCCAGCAGGUGGGGAGCCGGCCCCACCCGCAGCCCAGCACCCCCACCCCGUGCCGGUGUGUCCUCGUGCUGCUCUUGUGCCUGGUCUGUUUUCCCCCAGCUGCAGCUCCCACAUCUGUCCUGCCAACUCUUGGGAUCUUACUAAACAGCUUCUCUCUUUUCAGAUCCGUUUCCGUUCCGUGCCCCUUAAUCAGCAGUCUUCACUGCCAGUCUCUUCACACAUAGCUGGCCACCAUCUGUCACCUCAGGUGCUGUCUCUGUGCAUCCUUCUCUUCCCCUCAAUCACUGUGUGCAGAUCUGCGCACUAGAGUAGGGGCGUCUGCCAGCCACAGUGACGCGUGCGGUUGGAGUACCGUGAGCUCUCCGCUCAGAGACAGUCAGCUCCGUCCAGAGCAAAGUGUUCCGCCCUCGGGCCACAGCCCCCUUGUCCUGCCCACCUGGGCCCAGUGACCCCCAGGGCUGAAGGCCCGUGUUACUUCUCACCAUUCAGCCCUGGCCACAGGAAGGCUCGCUCACCCAGAGCCGUGUUAGGAGGCAGUGCACGAGUGCUUGUGAGUUUAAGCCGUCUCUUAGCUCUGAGGUACUUCCGCUUGGGAGUUUUAACUUUCCCAUUUUCAAAAGUAAAAUGUAAAAUCUCUUUCAGUAUGUUUCAAAUUAUAAAAACUUGAGCGAAGGCCUCUUCUGUAACGGAUGGGUAGAACUGUAUUCUGUUUGUUAGCUCUUGCUUUUUCUUUGAUAAUAGUGCUUCUAAUCCAAAAUGAAAUUAAAUUCAUUUAUAUAUUUACAGAAUGUGUUAUGCACAUAGCUUAAGGUAAAAUACAGUUAAAAGGUUUAUGGCAAAAAAAAUCCCUCUUAUCCGUUCUGCAAAGCCCGCUUCCACCCUUCCCACGGGACUCACAUCUUUUGGCUAUUUCUGGCAUUUACUGCUAGAUUUCUAAAUAAAUAAGCAUAUUCUGCUAUUUCUUCAUUCAACAAUUUUUGAUGUCAUCUGCUGACUUCCUCUUGUGGUAGAUUAUUAUUUUCUCUCUCUUACUUCUUCUUCCCAUCCCCCAAUUCCCCAGUAUAGCUAUAUUGUAAUUUAUGGUUAAAAGCACAUGGAGUUUCCAUAAUUUUGAAAAUACAUAACUAUUGUUUAUUACCCAGCCAAGCAAUAUACUGUAAUUACAUUUUCUUUCUCAUAUAACUGUUUUUUUUUCCUUUGAAGGUAAUAAUUGUCUUACUCUUUUCAUCCAUUUACUUUUAUUUUUUAGGAGUCUCUGGCUGAGUCCUUCCACACUCGUCACCCAUUCUCUGCAGUAACAUCAUUGUCCAAGGUCAGACCUUUUGGGAAGCACACCCCUUUCGGGUUUCCCUGGCACCGCCCUUCCUGGAAGCCAGGACUGGCUCUCCUCUGGCUGAGCAGCUGUGUCAUCUUUCCUGGGCAUUUCCUUGGCCCUUCUCCUCUCCUGGAGCCCUUGUCUCCUAGAUUCCCUGCUUCCUCUCUCUGUCCUAUCACAAGAUGGGAAAGCACAUAUGUAGUAGCUUCUAAGACUUGGCACAUCUGAAAAUGUCUCUUCUCUUCUCCUGCUUCAUUUAUAUCUUGGCUGGAUGUAUAAUUCCAGAUAAAAAUACUUUCACUCAGAAUUUUGAAGGCAUUGCUCCAUUGUUUUCCACUCCAAUUCUUGAUCCUCUGUAUGUGACUUUUUUCUCUCUGAAAGCUUUUAGGAUCUCUUUAUCCCUGAUUUUUGUUUUUUAAAGAUUUUAUUUUUCCCUUUUCUCCCCAAAGCUCCCCCCCAGUACAUAGUUGUAUAUUUUUAGUUGUGGGUCCUUCUAGUUGUGGCAUGUGGGAUGCCGCCUCAGUAUGUCUUAAUGAAUGUUGCCAUGUCCGCGCCCAGGAUCCGAACUGGUGAAACCCUGGGCUGCUGAAGUGGAGCAUGUGAACUUAACCACUCAGCCAUGGGGCCCUAUCCCUGAUGUUUUGAAAUUUUAUAUGACUAAGCCUUGUUUGAAGUUAUCUUUUAAAAUUCACUGUGCUGCAUUAUGUGUGUUAAAUUCCUGGUUUUGAUAUUGUACUAUAAUUAUGUAAGAUGUUACUGAGGGGAUGUGGGUGAAAGGUACACAGGACAUUCCUGUGCUAUCUUUGUAGCUUCCUGUGAAUCUAUAAUAAUUUCAAAAUUAAAAGUUAAAAAAAUAUAUAAAUAGUGACAUCAUGGAAAAUGGCAGAGGUGGACAUUCCAAGAAUCAGCCCCUCCAAUGAAACAGUCGAUAAGCUAGCAAGAAAUGACAAACUCAACUUUUGUAGAACUCUGGAUUUUAAUCAGAUACUUAAACCAACUAGGGGAGUGCCUAAUGAAUCUUAAGUGACCUACCCUGCAGAUUUUGGACUUCCCAGCCUCCAUAAUCAUGUAGGCCAAUUCCUUAAAAUAAAUCUCUCUCUCUCUCUUUUUCCAAACAGACAUUCUAUUGGUUCUGUUUCUCUGGAGAACCUUGACUAAUACACUAUUGAAGCUAAAUUCGUGUCAAUUCAAACUAGAUUUUUUUAACUUAAGAUGUUAAUUAUAAUCACCAGGGUAACCAGUAAGAAAAUAACUAAAAAAUUAUACAGAAAAAGAAACAAAGGGGAAAUCAAAAUGGUAUACUAGAAAAAAAGAAAAUCAGUCAAACACAACAGAAGGCAGUGUGGAAAGAAUUCAAGAACAAAAAGUCAUAAAAUUUAUAGAAAACAAAUAGCAAAAUGUAAGAAGCUAGUGCUUCCUUAGCAAUAAUUACUUUAAAGGUAAAUAGGUAAAAUUCAUCAAUUAAAGGACAGAGAUUGGCAGAGUGGAUGAAAAAACAUGAUACUACUAUAUAUGUUGCCUAGAAAAGACUCACUUUAUUUUUAUUUUUUUUUUUUAAAGAUUUUAUUUUUUCCUUUUUCUCCCCAAAGCCCCCCCGGUACAUAGUUGUAUAUUCUUUGUUGUGGGUCCUUCUAGUUGUGGUAUGUGGGACGCUGCCUCAGCAUGGUUUGAUGAGUGGUGCCAUGUCCGCGCCCAGGAUUCGAACCAACGAAACACUGGGCCGCCUGCAGCGGAGCGCGUGAACUUAACCACUCGGCCACGGGGCCAGCCCCAGAAAAGACUCACUUUAGAUCCAAAGACACAAAUAGGUUGAAUGUGAAAGGAUGGAAAAAGAUAUUCCGUGCAAAAGAGAGCUGGGGUGGGCAUACUUAUAUCAGAAAAAAAUAGACUUUAAGUAAAAAAUUAUUAUAAGAGACAAAAAAGGACAUUAUAUAUUGACAAGAGGGUCCAUUCAUCAAGAAGAUAAAAGUUACAACCAUAUACAUACCAAACUACAGAACCUGAAAAUAUAUGAAGCAAACAUUAGCAGAACUGAAGGGAAAAAUAACAAUUCUAUAAUAAUAGUUGGAGACUUCAAGAAUUCACAUUCAAUAAUGGAUAGGACAUCUAGACAGAGAUCAGUAAGAAAAUGAGGACUUGAACAACACUGUAAACUAACUUGACCUAACAGACAUAUAGAAAACACUUCCUCCAGAAAGAGCAGAAUACACAUUUUUAUCCAGAGCACAUGGAAUAUUCUUCAGGAUAGACCAUAUGUUAGGCCAAAAAACAAGUCUCAAUAAACUUAAGAAGAUUGAAAGCAUAUAAAGUAUCAUUGGUGAUUACAGUGAAAUGAAAUUAGAAAUCAGUAGCAUAAGGAAAACUGGAAGUUUCACAAAUAUGUGGCAUUUAAAAAACAUACUUCUAAUAACCAGUGAGUCAAAGAAGAAAUUACAAGUGAAGUUAUAUUUUGAGAUGAAUGAAAGUGAAAACACAACAUAUGAAAAACUUAUGAGAUGCAAUGAGGGCAGUGCUCAGAAGGAAAUUCAUAGUUACAAAGACCUUCAUUAAAAAAAGAAGAAAGGGGGCCAGCUUGGUGGUGCAGCUAUUAAGUUCACACAUUCUGCUUCAAUGGCCUGGGGUUCGCUGGUUUGGAUCCCAGGUGCGGACAUGGCACUGCUUGGCAAGCCAUGCUGUGGCAGGCGUCCCACUUACAAAGUAGAGGAAGAUGGGUAUGGAUGUUAGCUCAGGGCCAGUCUUCCUCAGCAAAAAGAGGAGGAUUGGCCACAGAUGUUAGCUCAGGGCGAAUCUUCCUCAAAAAUUAAUUAAAUUUUUUAAAAAGAGAAAGAUCUCAGAUCGUUUACCUGAUUUAAGGACUAGAAAAAAAAAAGAACAAAGUAAACCCAUAGCUUGCAGGAGGAAAGAGAUGAUCAAGAUUAGAGAGCAGACAAUAUAGAGAAUAGAAAGGCAAUAGAAUUCUUGAAGCUAGAAGUUGUUUCACUGAAAAGAUCAUUGAAAUUGGAAAACCUUUUAGUAAGACCAAGAAAAAGGAUUCAAAAUAAAAAAAUCAGAAAUAAAAGUGGAGGCAUUACUACAGACAUUAUAGAAAUAAAAGGAUAUAAGAGAAUACUAGGAAUAAUUAUAUACCAACAAAUUAGAUAACCUAGGUGAGAUGGACAAAUUCCUAGAAACACAAAUUACCAAAACUGAUUAAAGAGGAAAUAGAAAAUCUCAACAGACCUAUAACAGGUAAAGAGAUUGAAUCAGUAAUUUAAGACCUCCCAACAAAGAAAGGUCUAAAUAUUAAAGAAGAAUUAACACCAAUCCUUUGUAAAUUCUUCCCAAAAAUAGAGGAGGGAAUACUUCCUAACUCAUUCUGUAAGACCUAUAUUACCCUGAGACCAAAGCUAGGCAAAGGCACUCCCAGAAAAUAACACUUCAGACCAAUAUCCUUUAUGAAUACUGAUGCAGAAAUCCUCAACAAAAUACUAGCAAGCUGAAUCCAACAGCAUAUUAAAAGGAUAUACACCAUGACCAAGUGGGAUUUAUCCCAGGAAUGCAAGGGUGGUUCAACAUACAAAAAUCAAUCACUGUAAUAUACCUUAGUAAUAGAACUAAGGGGAAAACCUCCACAUGAUCAUCUCAAUUGAUGCAGAAAAAGCAUUUGACAAAACUUAACACCCUUUCAUGAUGAAAACACUAUUCUAGGAAUAGAAAUAGUAAUUCUAGAAAUAUUCUAGGAAUAGGAAUAGAAGGGAACGUCCUCCACAUAGUAAAGGGCAUUUAUGAAAAACUCACAGCUAACAUCCUGCUCAGACAGACAUCUUUCACUCCAAGAUAAAGAAUAAGAGAAAGAUGCUCAUUUUCACCACUGCUCUUCAACACAGUACUGGAAGUUCUAGCCAGAGCAAUUAGAUAAGAAAAAGAAAUAUUAGGCAUCCAAACUGGAAAGGAAGAAGUAAUAGAAGUAUCUCUAUUCACAGACAACAUGAUCCGGUAUGUAGAAAAUCCCAAAGAAUCCACAAGAAAGCUACUAAAGGAAUUCAGCAAAAUUGCAGUGUACAAGAUCAAUACAAAAAAAAUCAAUGUAUUUCUUUACAAUAGCCAUGAGCAAAUUAAAAAUAAAAUUAAGAAACCUACCCAAUUUACAACUGCAUCCAAAAGAAUAAAAUACAUAGAAAUAAGUUAAAGCAAGAAGGUGAAGGACUUGUACACUAAAGAUUGCAAAACAUUGAAAGAAAUUAAAGAAGACAAAUAAAUGGAAAGACAUCCAUUGUUCAUGGAUUGAAAGACUUAAUAUUGUUAAGAUGACAAUACUAUCCAAAAUGUUCUAUGGAUCAAUCUAAUCCCUAUCAAAAUGGCUACAGCUUUUUUUUCAGAAAUGGAAAGCCAAUCCUCACAUUCAUAUGGAAUUGUAAGGGACCCUGAAUAACCAAAACAGUAUUGAAAUAGAACAACAAAGUUGGAGGGCUCACAUUUCCCAAUUUCUUGCAAAGCUAUAGUAAUCAAAACAAUUUGGGACAGGCAUAAAGAUAGAUAUAUAGACCAAUGGAAUAGAAUUGAGAGUCCAGAAAUAAACCUGUGUAUCUAUGGUCAAUUGAUAUUCAACAAGGGUGCCAAAAGAAUUUAAUGGGAGAAAGAAUAGUGUCUUCAACAAAUGGUGCUGGGACAACUGAAUAUCUACAUAUAAGAGAAUGAAGUUCGACUAUUAACUUACAUACAAAAACUAACUCAAAAUGGAUCAAAGACCUAAAUAUAAGAGCAAAACCCAUAAAAUUCUUAGAAGAAAACAUAGGGGUAAAUAUUCAUGACCUUGGAUUUGGCAACGGGUUCUUAGAUAUGACAACAAAAGCAUGAGCAACAGAAGACAAAAUAGAUAAAUUCGACUUCAUCAAAAUAAAAGCUUUUUUGCAUCAAAGGACACUAUCAAGAGAGUGAAAAGACAACCUAGAGAAUGGGAGAAAAAUUGCAAAUUGUAUAUCUGAUAAGGGUCUCUUAGCCAGAAUAUAUAUAGAACUCUUACAACUCAACAAUAAAAAGAGAACCCAAUUUAAAAAUGGGCAAAGGAUCUGAAUAGACAUUUCUCCAAAGAAGAUAUGGAAAAUAACAAGCACUGGAAAAGAUGUGGAGAAAUUGAAACCUUUGUUCGUGCUGGUGGUAAUGUAAAAUGGUAUAGUCACUCCACUCCUAGUUAUAUACCCCAAAGUAUUGAAAACAAGUACUCAAAUACUUGUACACGAAUGUUCAUAGCAGCACUAUUUACAGUAGCCAAAAGGUGGAAAUAACUCAAAUGUCCUUCAACUGAAUGGAGAAACAAAUGUGGUAUAUCCAUACACUGGGAUAUUAUUCAGCCAUAAAAAGGAAUGAAAUACUGAUACAUACUACAACGUGGAUGAAUCUCUAAAACAUUAUGCUAAGUUUGAAUAAUGAAAGAAGCCAGACACCAAAGGCCACAUACUGUAUGAUUCCGUUUAUAUGUAAUAUCUAUAAUGGGUAAAUCCAUACAAAUGGAAAGCAGCUUGGUUGUUGCCAAGGGCUGGGGGGAGGGGCAAAUGGGGGAAAUCUACUGAAUGGGUAUGGGAUUUCCUUUGGGGGUGAUGAAAAUGUUUUGGAACUAGAUAGAGGUGGUGUUUGCACAACAGUGUGAAUGUACUGAAUACCACUGAAUUGUAUACUUUAGAAUGGUUAACUUAUGUGAAUUUCACCUCAGUAAAAAAGAAAAAAAUAUGAAUAAAUACAUGCGUGUAUACAUACAUAAAGCUGAGGUCAGGCAGCAAGGCAUCGAAAAAAAUCGCUUUGGGAACGUGGUGGUGCCUUUGGUUCCGGUAGUGAUUUCUUUGAUAAUUUCCCCAUCAUUCUCUCUUCUCUUUUUCUGGAAGUCCUCUUAGUCAUAUGUUGAGCUUCCUGGAUUGAUCUUGUAAUUUUCUUAUAUUUUCUCUCCUCUUUGUUCUCCCUUAUGGGAGAUUUCCUGGACUUUAUCUUCCACCCCUUUCACUAAUUUUUAUUUUGGCAAACUGUAUUUUUAAUUUCUGUCUUUCCUGUUCAUUAUCACAUCUCGUUCUUGCUUCACAGAUGUAGUGUCGUAGCUCCUCUCUCUGCAGAAAUAAGUGCGAAGUGAAGCUUUCUUGUGUGUCAGCGUCUCCUCCACGUCCCUUCCCAUCGCAGGCUUUCCUCAGAUGUCUCUUCAUACUGACAUGCCCCAAACCCCGCGAGAGCUCCGGGUGGAGCGCGAGGCUUGCUGGGGCUGGGCUUCACUGUCGGGUGUGCUGUGACUUCUUCCUUGAACCCCAAAGACCUUGUCUCUAGAUUGGUUCAGUUUCUCCCAAUAAGACUCAGCCUUUUGGAGGAGGCGGGGGUGUGUCUGUGUUUACCUAGGGGUCUAAGAGCCCAGGCUGUGAAAUUACCCCUUCCAGCCUGUCCCCUGCCCUCCCCUGCGUGCCCUUUCUCUGGACAGUCCCCAGGCUAUGACGGCUCCUGUCCCUCCUGUCCGACCGCCCUCCGCUGCAUCACUGCUCCUCCCUCUGCUUUCCACCUUCACGUGUGGGCUGCGAGGCUGCUGCCUCCGUGUAGUUUCUGAAGUUUGUGUUUCUGUUUUUUUUCCUUAUAGUUUUGUGGACAUUUCAGAGAUAAGGGCAAAAGGUCUUCUUCCCCACCAUGUCGAAAUCAAAGUUCUGUUCACUUUUAUAAACAAUAUUAAUUGAAAAAAAUACAUAAAAGCAAUCCAUGUUUAUGGUUAAAAAAAAAAGAUACAGGAGUCUCUGGGGAAGAGUGAAGUCCUCCCCAGGAGGAAGACUGACUGGCCUCUGCCAGUUGACUCCCGACUUUUAAGGCUUCCAGAAAUGUUUGCUGCACAUGCAAGUAUGUGUGUUUUUUUUCUUUUCUUUCUUUUAUUAAACACAGAUGGGAUCAUACUGUGUACAUUGUUUUGUGUCUUUUUCUACAUUAUCUUGCAAAGUCCCCUCUUUCGGAUUAGCUGUAUGAUAGCACUGCAGUCUUAAUUCCUGAAGGACUCGAGGGCUCCUUGCAGGGUCGCGAGGCCUUGGAGUGGGUGAUCUGCCGACUUAACAUGGAAUUGGAAGGCCUGGGGGCCCCGGCCUGCGCCAGAGCGUGAAGCCGCGGCGUGCUCCCUGCGCCCAGGACACGGAGACAGAGGCCGAGCAGCAAGUUGAUGGGCGUUCAGCAUCCACCCUGGACACUCGCUGGACGUGUGGUUUGCCGGAAGGGGCAUUCGGGAUCAGGGUUGUAAAUAAAAUCCCCCCCUGCAGCUGAGGAUUCGACAGAGACUGAAUGAGGCCCAUAAAACCUGAAAUAUUUACUAUCUGGUCCUGCAAAGAAGAAGUUUCUGUGAAGCCAACCUGUUCCCUAGAGAUUCCACUGCAUCUCUCAAUCAACAUAAAUCAAAGUAAAUUUGGUCCCUUCCACCAAACUGCUCCUCUUUCCGCCAUUUCUAAUUAGUGCUACUUCUAUUUCCCAAAUACAAAACCCAAGUUCUUUAAGACUUCCUCCUGCUCUUUCUCUCCAUAGCCAUUUGGAAACCGAAUACUCCUUUAAAAGGUCUCAGAUCAAUUCUGUCUUCUCACAUUCACUGUCCCAGUCUUGUUUUAGGUGCUUAUCACCUGGGGUAGCCAGCUUCCAAGACAGCCCCCGAGGAGGCUGCCCCAUGUCGUGACCAUCCCUGCGUGUAGUAUUCUCCACCCUGAGCAGGCUGACCUGUAGGGUCAGUGGAAUACUGCGGAAUAUUCCACGAUGGUGUGUGACUUCCCAGGUCAAGUCAUAAAAGACAUUGCGGCUUGCACCUUGCUCGCUCCUGCAUCACUUGCUCUGGGGCAAGCCAGCUGCCGUGUAGUGAGGACACUAGAGGAGCCCGACAGAGAGGUCCACACAGCAAAGCUGAGUGAGGGAGCCAUUUGGGAGCAGAUCCUCUAGCCCCAGUGAAGCCUUCAGCUAACGGCAACUUCAGCUAACAUCUUGACUGCAACCUCGUGAGAGACCCCAGGCCAG